UACGAGGGGGGCGAGCGUUGUUCGGAAUUAUUGGGCGUAAAGGGUGCGUAGGCGGUUUGAUAAGUCUGAUGUGAAAUCUAUGGGCUCAACCCAUAGCCUGCAUUAGAAACUGUCGGGCUUGAGUAUGGGAGAGGUGAGUGGAAUUUCCGGUGUAGCGGUGAAAUGCGUAGAUAUCGGAAGGAACACCUGUGGCGAAAGCGGUUGCCUGGGGCUUUGCUGACGCUGAUGCGCGAAAGCGUGGGUAGCAAACAGG
rnacentral:rRNA from 1 species